UAUCCUACGGGGGGCAGCAGUGAGGAAUAUUGGUCAAUGGGAGAGAUCCUGAACCAGCCAAGCCGCGUGAGGGAAGACGGCCCUAUGGGUUGUAAACCUCUUUUGUCGGAGAACAAAACCCGGGACGUGUCCCGGACUGCGUGUAUCCGAAGAAAAAGCAUCGGCUAACUCCGUGCCAGCAGCCGCGGUAAUACGGAGGAUGCGAGCGUUAUCCGGAUUUAUUGGGUUUAAAGGGUGCGUAGGCGGAAUGUCAAGUCAGCGGUAAAAUUUCGGGGCUCAACCCCGCCGUGCCGUUGAAACUGGCG
rnacentral:rRNA from 1 species